rnacentral:rRNA from 1 species
UACGCUGUUAUCCCCAAGGUAACUUUAUUUAAAUUUAAUAAUUUAGAUUUCAAAUUCAUAAAUCAAUGAUUUUAUAUUUAAAGAAUUUAUUAUAUCUUUAAGUUACCCCAACUAAUUUUUUUAAAUAUUAAAAUUAUACUAAAACAAAAUAAAAAAUUAAACUCUAUGGGGUCUUCUCGUCUUUUAUAAAUAUUUAGACCUUUUAACCUAAAAGUUAAAUUAAUAAAUAAUUAGAAAGAGACAGAAAUUUUCUUGUCAAAUCAUUCAUACAAGUUUCUAAUUAAGAAACUAAUUAUCACGCUACCUUCGCACAGUUAAAAUACUGCGGCUAUUUAAUAAUUCAUUGAGCAGAUUAGACCUUAA